rnacentral:tRNA from 1 species
CGGGGUGCGCCCAAGCGGUAAGGCAACCUAUUUUUACCUCGUCAUACGGAGGUUCGAGUCCUUACGUCCCAU